CUCAGUUCGGAUUGUAGGCUGCAACUCGCCUGCAUGAAGCUGGAAUCGCUAGUAAUCGCAAAUCAGCCAUGUUGCGGUGAAUACGUUCCCGGGCCUUGUACUCACCGCCCGUCACACCAUGGGAGUUGUGUUUGCCUUAAGUCAGGAUGCUAAAUUGGCUACUGCCCACGGCACACACAGCGACUGGGGUGAAGUCGUAACAAGGUAACCGUAGGUGAACCUGCGGUUGGAUCACCUCCU
rnacentral:rRNA from 1 species